UUAGUUGUUACCAGGCCGAGCGAGUGAUCUUGUUCGGCCAUGUGUAUGAUGAUUUUGUUCAGAAGAUUGUGAAUGUGAAUCGUUUUCAUCCUAUCGAUUUCGACGAACAUUUAUCAGUUAUUUUGAGAAGGAAGCCUCAGAUUGUUUGAGCAUAUAUAGACCUCUUUCAUAAAUGGUGGACCAAACUACGAUCCUUUGAUGGUCAUGUAAAUCAGAAUUUUUGGCCUUGGCAUUAUGAAAGAGAUCCAAGAAAGGAUACCAGCAAACCCAUUCCCAAUGGAGCCUGACAAAAUGCUGAUGGGUAACCUGCAAUGGACUAGAGUCCCACCUGGCGGAGUAACAAUACUUCUUGUUGCUCCAUACAUGGGAUAUCCAGAUGAGCUCUGGCUGGAUGGCCUACUUGGCACAAGUGCAGACUAACAUACAUCUUAUCAAGGACCUCCCUUUGCUGACCUCUUUCUAGUCUUACCUGGAAGUGCGACUGACAUUCUAACAGCUCUUCUGAUUGGUGUAUUU